GUGGGGGUGGGGGCUCCCAGGGAGGCAAGCUUGCUGCCUGACUCGAUCAUUUCUAAAGGCGGGGGCUUGGUUUUAUGCCUGGACAUCUUUGGAGCACCUUGGGCAAGAUUGUCUUUGCUCUGGAGAAGAUAUUUCUUAUCAUAGCGUCCUUUGGGGAUGGAGUUGGCGUCUGAGAAUAAAGUGCAACUUAAGCGUGAUCCUGGAGUGUCCUGUCCAGUGGGUUAACAGCACUGAUGUUUUCACGGUGCAGUAUUUCUGCUAGCUUCAAUUGCUUUUAAAUUGUUAAAAACAUUGGAAUGGUUGGUGCCUUGAAUGUUUUCAACUAGUUCCUCCUAAGACCCAGGAGAGCACUUGUAGCCUAAAAAAUGGCAGAGAGACAAAGUAAAUGAUAAUAUUGCACCUGCUCCAAUCUGUCAUUUAGACACUCUUAAUGAAAAAACAAUGAGUGACUUCGCCUUUCUGCUGUGCUGGAAGCUUUCACUACAGUUAUUUAGGUUACCAAUAAAAUGCCACCACCCCAUCCCUGGACACACACACAGACACACACACGCACAGCACUGCCAUCCACAAAAGGCUGCAGUUAAACCCAAUGCAUUUUCCACACCAGGCUUCCCCUGUUCUCCCAGGACAAUGGAAAAGCUCCCGGUGUUUGGGGGUGCAGCUCCCCUUUAAGGUGCCCUUCAGAUCAGGACGACGACAGUGUCUGCUGUGGUUCUAGCCCCUCCCCUGGCUCUUUACAUAUGAGGUUGCACCAACAGAGUUGCAGAUAUCAGCCUUUUUGCACCUCAAAAUGGCCCUUUAAUGGGGCCCGGCUGGUCCUUGUCUCACUCGGACCUCACAGCAGCCCUGAGGGCACCGCUUGCCACUUAGACAGCUGAGGGAACUCAGAGGGGUAACUGCCACGUUCAGCCAGUGACGAAUGGCAGAGGCUGGAGUUUAAUCCCAUAUCUACCUUUUCCUGCCUGUGCGGCCUGAGCGGCUGUGCAGUUCUCUGGGCCUCAGUCUUCUCAUCUGAGAAACAGGAUAAAGACAGCCCUCCUCUUAUAGGACUGUCGUGAAGCUUAGCCGAGGUCAUGCGUGUUAGUGCCAAGCCGCAUUCCUGGUGCUGCGAUGCCCCAAGGCGGGGCUUACCCCAUUGCUGUUCCUACUAUUCAUUCACGGUGUUCAUCCAGGUAAGCCUUGCCCCGGUACACAUCAGCGGGUGAAAGGAGUCAGAGAGGGAUGGCUCCUACCCAGCCUGAGCCGUCCAGCAGCCUCCUGGGUCCUGGCUCACGUCUGUGUCCCCUGCACACCAGUAGAGCAAGGGGCAAGAGGCGCCACCCUAUACAUACCCCAGCCGGAAGCUUCUCGGGCCACUUCUGCUGCUGUCCUGGGCCACUGAGUCACACAUGGUCCCUUAGCUACAUGGAGGCUGGGGAGCGAAGUCUUUCACAGGAUAUCUGGGACAGCCCAGAUGGUUCUAGAAGGAAGAGUGGAUACUAGGGGACAAGGGACAGUCUCUGCAGCCACAAAAGGAUCAGGAGGCUGGACUUAUCUAGCUGCCCAGGCACAGAAACUUGUCCACACGUUCACAGCUGCCCCUGAGGGGGUCUCUGACUCUUGGUCCCACCCCAAAAUGGAGCUUCCCCCAGUCCAAGGCAGUCUCAGACCCAGAAACGCGAGGGAGACGCUUCUCUCCACUCGUGCAGUGGGACCUUUACCGGUGUGGCAGGAGCAGCACCAUGACGGCUGUGAUGAGGCCUGGGGCUGUGCAGACCUAGGAGGGCCCUGGCUGAGCUGAGCUGUGGCCCAGGGUCCCUAAUGGGCCCUGCCCAAGGUCUCAGGUGCCCAGCAGCCUUCCUCAUGCCUCCCCAGGCUUUCCUCCUCCAUUUCACCUUUGCUGUCCAUCCUGUGGAGGAAGAAACCAGGAGACACUCACAGAAAGGGUCUUAGGGGUAAAGAAUGGAAACUACAUAAACCCACCACAUAAAGAGCAGAGGAGGGAAUAACACAGAUGCAAUAACCAGCGCUGAGUGGUGUGGCCAGGAAGCCGGGAGUGGAAGCCGACCUGGAGACUGCAGGGAGCCGGAGGCCGAAUCUCUAGGAAGCCGAGGGAGUGUGUGAGCCCAGCAGGCCGGGAAACUGGGGCCCGAAACCCCCGAGGGACAGCAUGAGAGGGAAGAGGAACAUCGGCUGGACGUCUUUCAGGGAGCAGUGAGACGCUGGCGUGGUCUUCCAAGCCUACUCCCGCAGAGGAUGAGGGCAUUGGUUUUGGGAGAAACUGAACCAGAAAUCUCUGUCCUGGGAGCAGCAGUCACAGGACUAAGGUUCAGGGUAGGGCCCAGGCUGAAAGCGGGGAUUCGGGGAAAGUCUACCCACUGAGUGAGGCCCAGCACACGCGGGGUGAAGAACCCCAAAGUCUUGCUCCGGCCCUGAAAUGACCUUGAGCUCCCGCACAGCGACACUGCAGGGUCAGAAGCCUGUGCAGCGGCGUCUUCAGACGUUUCAGGGAAAUAAAUGCCUUCUGGGCCGGAAACCUG